GCUCCUCUCGGGAGUGUUAUAGCCCUCGGUGCAAUGCAGCCUACCCGGACCGAGGACCGCGCUUCGGCUAGGAUGCUGGCGUAAUGGUUGUAAGCGACCCGUCUUGAAACACGGACCAAGGAGUCUAACAUCUAUGCGAGUGUUUGGGUGUCAAACCCAUACGCGUAAUUAACGUGAACGGAGGUAAGAACCCUUAAGGGUGCAUUAUCGACCGAUCCUGAUGUCUUCGGAUGGAUUUGAGUAAGAGCAUAGCUGUUGGGACCCGAAAGAUGGUGAACUAUGCCUGAAUAGGGUGAAGCCAGAGGAAACUCUGGUGGAGGCUCGCAGCGGUUCUGACGUGCAAAUCGAUCGUCAAAUUUGGGUAUAGGGGCGAAAGACUAAUCGAACCAUUAACUACUAGGUGGUUAAUAGGGACCUGAGAGGGUCUCCUAGUCCUGGUCAAGGGCAACAUCAUCAAACUGCGGGGAAGUCCCGUCAAAUUCUCAAGC
rnacentral:rRNA from 1 species